UUCCACAAAAACGUUUUCACGGUUAUCCGGAACUUCUGCUUGUCCACACUUUCCCUUAAAAGUUUCCCAAACUGCCCAGCCUAGGCAUAGCUAUCUGCCAGUGGCUGCUUUAAUGAGGAAGACCUGAAAGGAAGAGGAGCGAGAUGAGGUGGAGUUGGGGGUCCCAGACAAGGAUUCCUGCUUCCUGGCCAGCAACAAUAAAGGAAAACUUUUUGACCUCAUCACCACCCUCUUCUUGAGGUUGGAGCACAGCUGUGUGUGUUUGUUGUAUUAGAGGUUUUUGGUGUGGUGACCUUUUUGCAGACAAUAGAGUUGUAGCCUCUCUUACUUCUGGUGUCUGCCUGCCUGUGGCCGAAGUUGAUUUCAGGGGCUUGCUGUAGGCUUCCUGAUGGGAGUGACUGGGGCCUGCCCACUGUGCAGAAACUUGGAGAUAGACUUGCAUAUAAGGAGAAGACCAUGCCAACAUGAAGAUGGCCAAAUACAAGUCAAGGAGAAUGGCUGGGAACUGAUCCUUCCCUCACAGCUCUCAGAAAAGGUAACAUUUCAAUUUUGAAUUUGGUUUUUUUUUGGGGGGGGCUUUUUAGAGUCACACCCAAGGCAUACAGAAGUUCCUGGGCUAGGGGUUGAAUCAGAACUACAGCUACCAGCCUACACCAUAGCCACAGCAAU